UCCGGUUCAAAAACCGCUGUUUUUGAACACUUUUAUUUACUUAAGCAUUUUAAUUGGCUUACUUUAAAACAAAGUGUGAUUGAAUGAUUAUUGUUGUGUUGCCUUGAAUUCGGCUAUGCUGUCAGACAGUAGUUUCUUUAUUGUUUUUGUAUUUUUGUAGCGAACGCUACUGGAAUGUAUAGAUUAAGCUACGUAGCCAAGAUGAUUAAUAAUUUAACUGUUGUACAUUGGUGGAUGAUGAUGAUUCAUGAUUUGCAUCGUUACAUAGACUUGCAGAAAAAUAUAUUUGUUUACCGGUAAACUGAAUCGAACUUGAUGUGCUAAUGGACAUUUUUCUGACCUACGUGUAACCCAGAGUAAUUUCCUGCACUAAUUUCCUGCCAUUGAACGCAUCACAAAUAAAUAACUCCAACCACAUGACUUUGCUCAGCCAAUCGGAUGGCAUGUAGGUCAUAGUAAGCCUGUCCCGGCUUCCUCCCGUCAGAUGCGUGGAGGCAAGCCAGGUGACAGAGCUGUUGCAGAUGCUGAUUACUGUGAGCCAGAGCCAUAAUGUUGUUGUGCACUGAACAGAACGGAAUUGGCCAGGUGAACCUUUGGGGUAUGAAAGAGGAUGGCGAGCCAAUGAAGGGCUAGGAGCAGGACUCAUUCUGCAAUUGAAGCUUCCACUGGUUGGGUAGGAAGCUAUCAAAGACAACGCUCUGUCCCCAUUUUCCAAAUGCACUGAUUUCUGCAAUCAUACACACCAUUCCCCUCAUUUCUGGACAAUAGCGCUUGGACAUCUCUCAUGGACAUUCAGAUAAAACUCAUGGACUUCAGUGUGGAUCAGUGGAUUUGAUAUUAACAUGUGGUGUUUAUGGGGGAACCGUUUUUUGAAAAUGUGUAUUGCUUGGUAUAAGCCAGAAGAAUCUGCUUAGUUGUCUUUGUGCACCCUCACUGGGUUUUGAUUAAUUGGAUAGCUGCAGCAGGAGUGAUUAUUUAAGUUUUUCUUUUGUUAUUUUUCUUUGGGGUUUGGUUAAAUACAUGGUACCUGCAAAAACAUUUUUGUGUUGUGUGUGUUUAUUAAUUACUGCCCAUCAGCUCCAGUAGCAUUCCUAAAUCUUCUGAUUAAUGAUAACCAUAAUAUUUCACUCAAUCCCUAGCCUGUAUUAAUUCAUUAGCGCUUCAUCAGUGUUACAUACAGGUCAGGUUUUUUGUCCCCCUUUGAAUUGAUCUUCUUCAUAUUGAAGUGGCGAGCCGGUAGGACCAUUCUUUGUUUUGUUUUUGUUUU